rnacentral:rRNA from 2 species
ACUUUCAACAACGGAUCUCUUGGUUCUCGCAUCGAUGAAGAACGCAGCGAAUUGCGAUAAGUAAUAUGAAUUGCAGAUUUUCGUGAAUCAUCGAAUCUUUGAACGCACAUUGCGCCCUUUGGUAUUCCAAAGGGCAUGCCUGUUUGAGCGUCAUUU